AGUCAUAGAUUUGUACAACUGUUGUAGAGCCGUUGUUGCUGUUUUAAAUGCAAAAAUAUAAAUUUGACGAUACAACUCUGCGUACUGUGUUUAUUCAGUGCAACUUUGAAUCAGCUGUGUUUGUUUAUCUUUCUUCUUCUUAUUGUUUGCAUUUUGUUGAAAUAAAUUGGCCGCAAAUUCGUUAAACGAAUAAGUAAAUGGAUAAAAUGAGCACGAACGGUGAAGUUGAGGUAAAUAUAAUAGAAAAUGCUGAAUUAUUUUUUAAUUUAAACGAUUGUGAAUACUUUCUUUUCGUUUUUACCAAAACGCAAGCGCUACAACCCCCAAAAGCGUUGGGAAGUUGCCGAGGAAAAAACGUUGAUUGAAUUCCUUCUAGAGAAUCGCGAUUUUGAGAAUGCCAUUUUUUAGGGUAAAUGGAAACUAUUAAUUACUUAGUUAUUUACAGAAACCAUCGGCCCGGCUAUUUUAUAAUCGCUUCGCGAAUGAAAAACAAAUCCUGGUCGAGUGGAAAUCAGCGCGCUCAAAAGUAAGAAAUAUGCGAUCUGCUUAUAAUAAAGCGAAGGAAUGGGAAGGAAAUACCGGUGCUGGUUGCAUGGACGGCGAUACUAUAAAAAUUUCGCUAUUUCUAAAUUUCUAUUUCUAUUUCGUCGACUAAACGCUUGUGCUGUAGUUGAAGAAAUAAUGGAAAGUGCUGAUACUACCAUUGAAGUAUUAAGUUCUGUACAAAUUGAAAUUCCUAUUGUAAAUGAAACAGUUACCACUCCAAGGCAAAGGGGAAUAUACUCCAGAACAGCGGCUUCCGAUAUUAUGCAAAUCCAUGGCGAAAUAAUGACAUUGCGAAAGCAAAAGUUAGAGGCAGAAUUGACUGCAAGAGAAAGAGAGUUCGAGCGAAAAGAAAAAGAGUUGCAGUUAAAAGCUAAAGAAGUGGAGCUCAAAGAAAUUGAAAUAUUAGCGCUAAAAGACAUCAAACAACUAGAGCUACAGAUGAAAGAGCGAAUCGCCAUGGAAGAGCUAAGGCUGAAGUACAAAUAAAUUCUUAAAACUUAUUUAGUAUACGAAAAGACCAAUUUUUCUAUUUUUUACUUUUGUUUUCAAUGAGAUGGACUCACACAUCGUUUUAUACGAUGGUUUAAUUUAAAUUUUUGUUAAUGGUAUAAUUUUAUAUGUACAUUUCUGCGUAUGUAUGUACGUACAAUAAACGCCAAAUAUACACGUAUACUUGAAAAUGUAAAAGUGAAUAAAUGUAGCUAUGUUAGUGCAAUAUGUUUAAACGCAAAUCAUUUAUUUGUUUUGAGACAGUAUGUAUGUAUUUUUUUAAUGAUUCUAUUAAAAAUUACUCUAAUAUAUAUUUGAGGAAAUAUACUUAUGUGUAUAUAUAUGUUCAAUGUACAUACUAUAUGUAUUAUCUAUAAUUUGGAAUGUUUCCUUUGGAGUUCAAGUAAAUUUUCUUGGAAUAUUUUUAAUUAAACUGUUGUACCUUAAGCAUAAGUUUUUCUUCUAAAGUAUAUUUAAAAGAAAAAUGUAUGUUUUUCAUUUAUAAAUAAUCCAUAUAAUGACCAAAAUCUUAAAGAAAUAAUUUUUCCACCAAGAUUGUCGAAAUCUCACACUGUGCUAAGUCGAGUACUCUACUAUUACAUAAACAAAAGAGCUCCGAGUGCCUAAACAUAUAAAAGUGGAAUGUUGAAACAAUACAUAUUUGCUAGAUAUACAAA